rnacentral:rRNA from 1 species
UACGUAGGGACCAAGCGUUUGUUCGGAUUUACUGGGCGUAAAGGGCGCGUAGGCGGCAAUUCAAGUCAUCUGUGAAAUCUCCGGGCUUAACUCGGAACGGUCAGAUGAUACUGCUUUGCUCGAGUGCGGAAGGGGCAAUCGGAAUUCUUGGUGUAGCGGUGAAAUGCGUAGAUAUCAAGAGGAACACCUGAGGUGAAGACGGGUUGCUGGGCCGACACUGACGCUGAAGCGCGAAAGCCAGGGGAGCAAACGGG